rnacentral:rRNA from 1 species
CCCCUAGUAACUGCGAGUGAAGCGGGAAAAGCUCAAAUUUAAAAUCUGGCGGUCCUUGGCCGUCCGAGUUGUAGUCUGGAGAAGUGCUUUCUGCGCUGGACCGUGUAUAAGUCUCUUGGAACAGAGCGUCAUAGAGGGUGAGAAUCCCGUCUUUGACACGGACUACCAGUGCUUUGUGAUGCGCUCUCAAAGAGUCGAGUUGUUUGGGAAUGCAGCUCAAAAUGGGUGGUGAAUUCCAUCUAAAGCUAAAUAUUGGCGAGAGACCGAUAGCGAACAAGUACCGUGAGGGAAAGAUGAAAAGCACUUUGGAAAGAGAGUUAAACAGUACGUGAAAUUGCUGAAAGGGAAACGCUUGAAGUCAGUCGCGUUGUCCGGGACUCAGCCUUGCUUUCGCUUGGUGCACUUUCCGGAUGACGGGUCAGCAUCGAUUUUGACCGUCGGAAAAGGGCUGGAGUAAUGUGGCACCUCCGGGUGUGUUAUAGACUUCAGUCGCAUACGGCGGUCGGGAUCGAGGAACGCAGCGCGCCGCAAGGCAACACGCUUAGGAUGCUGGCAUAAUGGCUUUAAACGACCCGUCUUGAAACACGGACCAAGGAGUCUAACAUACCUGCGAGUGUUUGGGGGAAAACCCGAGCGCGUAAUGAAAGUGAAAGUUGAGACCUCUGUCGUGGAGGGCAUCGACGCCCGGACCUGACGUUCUCUGACGGAUCCGCGGUAGAGCAUGUAUGUUGGGACCCGAAAGAUGGUGAACUAUGCCUGAAUAGGGUGAAGCCAGAGGAAACUCUGGUGGAGGCUCGUAGCGAUUCUGACGUGCAAAUCGAUCGUCAAAUUUGGGUAUAGGGGCGAAAGACUAAUCGAA